rnacentral:rRNA from 1 species
CUCAAUGAUAAUUCAAUAGCCGCAAUAUACUGUGCUAAGGUAGCAUAAUCAUUUGUCUUUUAAUUAAAGACUAGAACGAAAGAUUUAAUAUUUAUAUUUCUAUAUAAAAUAUAAAUAUUUAACCUAUUUUAAACGUAAAAAAACGUUUAUAUAUAAAAAAGACGACAAGACCCUAUUGAACUUUACUAAAGUUUAACUGGGGCAGUUAACUAAAUAAAAUUUUAUUUAAAAUCUCAAAAAAACCUAAUAUUAUUAAAAUUUAAUCAAGUUACCAUAGGGAUAACAGCGCAAUAAUUUUUUCAAGCUCUCAUUUAAAAAAUUCAUUACGACCUCGAUGUUGAAUUAAUAAUCUAUUAAAUGCAAUAACUAAUAAGAAAGUC